GUGGGCAUGGCAUUACUCAAGUAUUUGGGCUUUAGGUAUUAGAUCCUGGAAGACGAGAAGAGACCAAUAUUAUUAUCAUUAUUAUUAUUCCUUUCCUUUCUCGCCACUUGGUGAGUAAUAUGGUAACAAACUUUGAUUCCAAGUCUUCCUAUUUUGACUGCUUUUAGUCUUCGGUGCCGCCAUUGCUGCCUGUAAAUAUUGACCUGUCCUUCCUUACAACAAGACCCAAAAACGUAAGUCAAUCCUGGAUUUUGACCAAUGAAUCGGUAAAUCCCAUGCUUCUAUAUUCUUCUAGCUUCUUUUUGGCUAGUCAAUUUAAACCCGCGUUUUAAUUGCUGUAGUUAUUAUUUAUUUUCCUUUUCUGGUUUAUUUUCAUCUCUGGUACCUGGAUUUUGCCUCUUUUUUUGACAUAUGUUAUUAUUUGCAGCUUCCAAUUUGACAACUUGUACCUAAACUACAAAUUAGUGAAUGGCUUUUUUAUCAUUCGACGCGUUAAGUGUGUAGCCUCACUUACUGUGCUUGUCUUCGUUUUGAUUUUAAUUUCAGACUCUUCUUGGACAUUAUUAUUAGAAUUUUGAAAGUUGGACAUUAUUUUCAAAUCAUCUUUUCUUAAUUUUAUAAUACUUUUAAAUCUCGACUACAAGAAAAAUGCAAAGAUGUAGGUCAAUUAUGGGUAUAUUUUUUUUUAAUAUUAUGAUCGAA
rnacentral:lncRNA from 1 species